CUCUUUCGCUGCGUGCUUCGGAUCACCAGAAGCACCUGGACCGUGAAGUGAUCUUCUCAUUCUCUGGUUAUAUUUCUUUACUUCCCCCCUUCUUUUUAAUCCUCUCUAGUCCCUUAAUUAAUUUAAUUCCACCCCUUUUCUUUUCCUCUUUGAUUUCCCACCCCACCCCUUACCCUGCCCUUUGAGAAGAUUCUCCCUGUACCUGUGAGAGCUGCCUGUGCAUAAUCCUCCUUGGCUUGCCUUUCCCAAUGGGGAGAGAGUCCCCAUUAGGGGCUUUCUUUUGCAGAAAGGUUUCCCUCAUUUUGCCUGUUUGUUAAUUGUGGGGCUGGUCAGGCUGUUCCCAGCUUAGCUGGAAUCACUUUCGUUUAUAGUAUCCCCAAAGGUGGCUUUAUUUUGGGUGUGUGCAGCGCUGUUGGCCGAAUUUUGAUCUAGCCUUGGGCAGGAGCACCAUUUUGAGCUUCCUUUAAUAUUGCAAUGAAUCAAAGAUUCUUAAGAGCAGAAGCAGUGAGGUCUGCAUUUAAGCCUAGGCCUGCUGCAGUUAGCAGGAAACAUGUGACUCAUUCCCUCUCUAAGAAUGUAUCUUUUGCUUGCAGGCUCAGUUGCUAUUGUAUAUUUGGGGCAGACAGAGUGGAGCCAGGGUCUCUGUGCCUCCAAUGACUAGGAGCACUCUGUAUAUGCUCUGGAACUAUGCUGUUUCUGAACAAGUUUAUUUUCUUUAAGUUUGUUUUGCCCUGAUAUUGGCGACUGCCAUUUUAGAGAUGAGCCAUUGUGGCUUAGUGGCUAGAGUGCAGGGCUGGGUCCUGGGAGACAGGGUUCAUAUCCCCCUCUUAGCCAUUGUUAUAACAAAACAAAACAAACUGCUCCUUUUCGGCUAUUCUGUUGCUGGGUAGUUGGGCCCAUUUGUGAUAAAAGAACUUUGGGUUUCUUGAAGGGGUGCUUCCCUCUAAAAGGGCAAGCAGGGGUACCUGGACAAGCUGUGGGCUACCUCAACUCUGCUAUUUCACUGGAAACAUUUAUGCCUGGCCUAGCAGGUGAUCCUAGGGCUUUGCCCUAGAAUUCGAUGGCCUGGAAGCGUUUCCGGCCUGAAUAGUGUCCCCAUGUGGUGCAUGAAGCAUUGGUUUCACUGGUUCCUUACAUUGUUUAGUUUUUGCAGACUAUGACAGAGCUUUUGCAGAUGCCUCAAGAGCUUGCCUCUCCUGCAGAGGAUGACUUGCGGACGCCCCAGGUGCCUUCUUCCAGAAGGAAGCGUCUUCGGAGGCGGCAUUCCAGGAGGAGGGCAAAGAGGAGCAGGGAUGAUAAUUCAGACAUCACCUUGGACCUCUCCAGGGGUUAGGGUGAGGCUGUCCUGGGUCUUUAGGGAUCAUCCUGGAUAGCUCAGCUGCUCAGCACAUAGUGCCAGUAAUGCCUAGGUUGCAGGAUUGGUCCCUGUAUGGGACAGCUACAUGCCCCCCAUUGCUCUACCUGGACACUUAGGUCCAGUGUCGAGGGCCUUUUGGUGGUUCCCUCACUGCGACGGAUGUAACGGGCGCCACGUUUGCAAUAUGCAAGUGGGAGAAAGCACCUUUGCGUGCCCGCAUUGCAGUUUGCUCUGUGCGUUGCAGGGCACGGCGCUGCAUGGGCUGCAAUUGCAUUGCAUUGCAUUGCAUUGCGUGAGAGAUUGCAUUUGCAUUGCACGGAGGGUGUAGUUGCAUUGCACGGAGGGUGUUGUUGCAUUGCAUGGAAGGUGUGGUUGCAUUGCACGGAGUGUGUGUGUGUGUGUGUGCAUUGCACGGAGUGUGUGUGCAUUGCACGGAGGGUGUCUGCAGUGCAUGGAGUGUGUAGUUGCAUUGCACGGAGGGUGUGUCUGAAAAGGAAGCUGGCUAGGCGGCAGCUUUGUCGGGACUUCUUUAGGGGUUCUGGCCAGCGUCGGCCCUGUAAAUUUACAUAUCAUGAUGGCAGCACAAGAUGCCCCCUGCCCAAGCGGGGGCUGGAAGCUGGCAAGCAAUAGCGCAAUACCUUUUGCCCAUAUUCCCAUUUUAUUUAGGGAUCCAGAUGGAUAUCGUUGCUAAAACAUACCACUUGCCUAGGGAGAAGCUGUCUGCCUUGAAGGAAGUUACUUUGUAAUACUUCCUCUGUAGCAAGUGAUGCUUCAUCAGAUCCGAUCUUGCUGGGUCACUUAAUUAAUCUUGCAUGCAGAGUGGUCGCCCCAGGCCACCCCUUCCAUUCCCGCUAGGCCAGGCUGCCUGCGGCCUGAGGUCCCCUUACCUUCGUGUACGCUUACCAAGUGAGGUGAUAGGCAGAUCUCAUGCGAUGGUUGCAAUUCCAAAAUGAAUGCAAUAGUAGUUCGCCAUGGCAGGAUACCUUGUUCAUGCUGAUGCUGCUGGAUCUUUGCCCUUUGGUUUUUUAUUUCAGGGGCUGCUGGUGUGCAUAGCCAUGGCCUCCAGCCCGGUGUGGUGAAGCAGUCAUGUGACCUAACUUUUCUUGAGUUUUCCCCAUUGUAGUAGCAGUUCACAUGUGGCCCGAGGAGUUCAGUGACCAUCGGAUCUGCUUUUGGUCUGAUAACCAGGCAGUGGUGAGUGUCUUGGCAAAGCAGUCCUCCCGCUCCAGCAGAGUCUCCGCCCCUCCGCUCACGCUUCGAGCUGCGCUGCUUAAGGUUUAAUGCUGUGCUUUCUGCUCUCCUGAUUACGGGAUCCUCUAAUGAUGUUGCUGACACUCUAUCCCAUUUUCAGAUGGAGCGCUUCAGAUCCUGGGCUCCAGACACUCAGCUACUGCCAGACUUUCCAGACCACCUGUGGCACUUUGACAACAAUUAGUUGUCAAUUACAGAGAGCAGCAGCUUCCAUUUCCCCUUCUGCUUUUAGCUCUUAUGAGAAGGCCUGGAUGGAUUUCUUAGCCUUAAGCUGGCAGUCCUCGGGCAUUCAGAAGAACUGGCCCCCAUCCUCUAGCAGAUCCUGCAAUAUUUGGUCCACCAGCUGCAGAUUGUAUGUGCUGUUAAAACUAUCAGUAUUCAGUCCGCUGCAGUGUCUGUUAUAGUAAAGCUUUAAUUUGCAGAGACCCUUGUAUAAAGUCUGUCGUGCGCAGGGCCUUGGAAGGUUGGAAUAGGCUCCAACCUCAUACGACAGUGGGCAGGAAGUCGGUCAAUUUUUACCUAUGCAGUAUCUGCAACAAGUUAUAACUUGUCUGCUGGUUAAAGAUCAAGGCGAGACUCCUUUCAGUAUUCCAUUGCAUUUUUGGUGCACUGAGGGUUGGGGAAAUUGUGUUGGAGCCAGCACGGGGCUGAGAGUCUGGAGGCUUAUUGCUUCAGGACUUUUCCUUAUCUGCUUUGGAGCUGGUCAUUAGAGUUGGGAACUCUAAAACAGACCUAGUGGGCAGGAGUGCCACCAUCAGGCUUCCCCUCACAGGUGAGGAGGGCCCUUGCCCGGUUAUGGAUACCAGAAAUAUUUGGCUUUUCGUUCCCCUGGGGGCUGGCCCGCGGCCUGCUCCUAGUGCAUGGAAAUGGGUUCCUGUUGCCAGGCAUCAAUGUGCUUACAUCAUGCACCAGUUAUUACGGCCUGCGGCUUGCUUACCGCUGAACACGCCGCAUUCCUUCCGAAUAGGGCUGCUGCAAAGGCUGCACACUGGGGGCCUGUCAGUAGACAUGAUUGUGAAUACGGGACAUUGGAAGUCUGAUGCUGACAAGGGUUACAUCAGGAAGUGUCAACAAUGAUGUCUCUGCUGAUGCCUGUCUGUUAUUUCCUUUUUUCAUAGGAGCAGCUGUGCACAUUUGGAUUGUCGCUCGAGCAGGCCAGAAAGCAUGUUAAUAAGGCGGUGGAAAAUAAAAUAAAAAUAAAUAAAUAAAUAAAAAAUAAAGCAUUGUACACUGGGCUGGCAAGCGCGCUGACGAGUCUGGACUGGGGCGCCAUCUCAGUCUUCCUGCCCAUGUGAACAUAUACUGGGUGUCCAGAUGGGGAAUGCUUUGGGAGGAGUUCCUUCCUUUGGUGCGGUCGAGUGUGACCUGUGCAGGUCCUCCCGCAGUGCUAGUGGGGCAGCUGGACGAGAAUGACUUGCCGUCUUCCUCCAGCAUAAGUUUGCGUUCCUGCAUGCAGGAGGACUUGGAUGAGUUGAUGGCAGCUCUCCCUGGACUCAAAAUAAUUUAAGGCAUUGGUUCAAGGUGGUCUGGAGGGGGGGUCGGAGCACCUGUCCCCUCCAAUGCGCAAAGAUAUUCCAUUAAGGGAAUCCAAGGAUUCGCCAUGCUUUUGUCGACCCCUUUCGAGGGGCAGGGCCACGCAAGGGUCCCUGGAGCAUUUGGGGUGCGCUUGAGUCUGAUCCUGGUUCAUUGCUCCCCCACGAUGUUUGCUUGUACUGACGAUAUGGUGGGGCCCAGUCAUCAGUGCUGCCCUGCUGAGGUCAGGUGCAGAUAGUCGGAAACAAUGCCUAGACAAACUACCACCGAGCAGGCCAGAAAGCAUGUUAAUAAGGCGGUGGAAAAUAAAAUAAAAUAAAAAAUUAAUUAAUUAAUUAAAUUAAAAAAUAAAAUAAAAUUUUAAAAAGUUCGGGUUUGGAUUGUAGGCCACAGCGUUGUCCACUGGGCCGGCAUCAGAGCUCGGGAGUCUUGAUUCGGAGCAGCACUUGGCCUUCCCCAUCAUGUGCAGGUGUCUUGGCUGUCCAGACGUGGAAUGCUGUGGGCCGAAUUGCUUCCAAUGAUACAAAAGCAGUUGAGUCUUAUGGGGCCCCCUUCUGUUAUUGUGUUCCAGCUGGGGGAGAAUGAUUUGCCUGCCACCGACUGCUGUGACUUGCGUAACGCAGUACGGAAGGACCUGGAGAAACUGGCUGCUAUGUUGCCAGAUGCAAAAAUAAUUUGGUCGCAGUUGCUGCAACGCCGCUUCUGGCGUGGCAGUCGCAGUCCGGCUGCCACCGAGCAGGCCAGGAAGCGCGUUAACAAGGUGGCGGUAAAGAAGGUCCUCGCCUUAGGCGGUUCUGUGAUCAUGCACCCUGCUAUUUCCUUCAAGGCUGUUGCCCUCUUUAGGGCAGAUGGGGUACAUCUUUCCCCUGUAGGGAACGACACCUGGUUGGCUGCGGUCGCUUUGGGUUUGAAGGAAGGGUUGCAUUUGUGAGUGGUUUGGCGGUGAGCUUCAGUGCUCAGUUGGCGGUUAGGCAUUGGUCUGGAAUUGGUUGCUGGGGGGGUAUGGAUUCAGCUGUGCCUGCCCCCCAAAAUGCUGCUGCUGGUGGAGGGGUAUGGAUUCGGCUGUGCCUGCCCCUCCAAAAUGCUGCUGCUGCUGAAGGGUUUUACCGUUAAAUGAACCCAGGGGCUCCCCCAUGCUUUUGUCUGAAACCCCCUGGCAAGGGGCUAGGGCCACGCAAGCCCCUGGGAGCAUGCUGGGGAGAGGUGAGGCAUGGUUCCCAGUGCCGUCUCUCUCCCCAGGUGAACUGGCAGAUGUGAUCUCAGAACCACUGGCAGUCAUCUUUGAGAAUUCCUGGAGAACAGGCGAAGUCCCGGCAGACUGGAGGAGGGCAAAUGUCCCUAUUUUCAAAAAGGGGAAAAGAGAGGACCCAAAUAAUUACCGCCCAGUCAGUCUGACAUCAAUACCAGGGAAGAUUCUGGAGCAGAUCAUUAAGCAAACAGUCUAUGAGCACCUAGAAAGGAAUGCUGUGAUCACCAAUAGUCAGCAUGGAUUUCUGAAAAUAAGUCAUGUCAGACUAACCUGAUCUCGUUUUUUGACAGAAUUACAAGCCUGGUAGAUGAAGGGAACGCAGUGGAUGUAGCCUACCUUGAUUUCAGCAAGGCAUUUGACAAGGUGCCCCAUGAUAUUCUUGUAAAGAAGCUGGUAAAAUGCGGUCUUGACUAUGCUACCACUCAGUGGAUUUGUAACUGGCUGACUGACCGAACCCAAAGGGUGCUCAUCAAUGGUUCCUCUUC
rnacentral:lncRNA from 1 species